rnacentral:lncRNA from 1 species
UGGAGAAACCCUGUCUCUACUAAAAAUACAAAAUUAGCUUGGCGUAGUGAUGCAUGCCAGUAAUCCCAGCUACUUGGGAGGUUGAGGCAGGAGAAUCACUUGAACCCAGGAGACGGAGUUUGUGGUGAGCCGAGAUCACACCAUUGCACUCCAGCCUGGGCAACAACAGUGAAACUCCAUCUAAAAAAAAAACAAACAAACAAAAAGAUAAUUAAUAGAUGCACUUUUUAUUUUAAAAUUUUGUGGGUACAUUGUAGGUGUAUACAUUUAUGGGGUACAUGAGAUAUUUUUGAUACAUGCAUGCAAUGCAUAUUAAUCACAUCGGGGUAAAUGGGAUAUCCGUCCCCUCAAGCAUUUAUCCUUUGUGUUACAAACAAUUCAGUUGUUUAUUUUAAAAUGUACACUAAAUGAUUGUUGACUGUAGUCACCCUUUUAUGCUAUUAAAUACUAGAUCUUAUUCAUUCUAACUACACUUUUACAUUUUGAAACAUAGUGAAAAUGUCAUACUUGAUAUUAGAGUGAAUUAUUCAGUGUACACAUUAUAUGUAUUUUAAUAUGUUUCUCUUUAGGCUGCCUUCUAGUACCAAAUGUUAUAAUCAGAUAAUUGACCUGGUGUUUGUGGUGAUCUGAUAUUAUCAGGAAAAGCAUUACUCUGCCUUUUUAAACUCUUAAAUUGAUACAACUGCUGGAAGAAGGGAGGACAGAUCCAAGAGAUCUAAUUUGUAUAUAAUGGGAGUUCCAGAGUGAAAUACAAGAGAAAAGCCAGAUUUAAUAGAAGUAAAUUUCCUGAGCUGAAUAAAGCCUUAUAUUUGCAGGUUGAAAGUGUUCACUAAAUUCUAGGCAGGAUUGAUGAGAAAAGGCAUACACCUAAACAUACUCUGACAGAAUUCCUGAAUCUCAAAGUUAAAGAGAAAAAUAUAUAAGAUUCCAGACAGAAAGAAGUUAUUUGCAAUGGGAAAAGAAUUGGACUGGUAUCAGACAGUGGAAUCAUAUCUAUACCUGUUAAGAGAAAAGGAAAGUAACCAAGAAGUCUCUUUCCAGCCAAGCAUCAUUCACCUGCCAGAGUGAAAGGGAUGCAGAAAGGAUUCCAAGAAUCUAUCAUCUGCAUAUCCCCAUCUGAAGAAACUGAAAAGAGGACUGUAACUAAAUAACAAAUUAAUGAGAAUAGAGACUUCAAGAAAUGAGAAGGUAAAGUAGAAAGGGAAG